rnacentral:misc_RNA from 1 species
UGGAAAGAAGCACUAAGGAAAGGCAGGCAAGGGAACAAGCCGUUAAAGAGGCGGAGGCUCUUGCAGGUCUAGAAGCCGAGGUCGGUGUGAAAGGCUUUAGUGCCUCUUAGAAGGAAGGUACGGUACUCAAUUUCAAAAUAGUUUAAAGAAGGGCAUUUCUUACCAACAGAUCAUCCAGUUAUCCCGAAACAAUAGCAUACGCAGAAGAAUGAGCUUCAGGAUUAGCCUCAGCUGAAUCUAGGGCUAGAGCUACUUAGACUAGAGCUGAGUUUGAA